UCUUUAAUAGCACUUUGCGCAUUGCAAUGGUAGAGGAACCGUAUGCAAACAUAGAUCACUUCACUGCAUAUUGCGGCCAUCCACCGCAAGACUUCAACAAAGAGCUGUACAUCUACAAUUAUAACAGAAAUGAUAGUUGAAAUGUAAGAAGAUUUGAAAUAUACCUUUCGAUAGGUGUAACGAGUCACUUGAGGAAGAACGAGCUGCAGGAACUAAAGAUGCAGAAUUGAUACCAUGGAAGAAUCAGCUUUAUUGAAGGUCAAUUUAUGGAAGAACAAGUUAAAGCAAUAUUAAAGAUGGAUGUUGGGAUGAAGUUGUUAAUUGAAAUGGAGCAAAUCCAUUUGAAUGUCCGUCCAAAUUAAAAGAAGCAUCAAAGACCAGAGUAAUGAUGCAAGAGAUUCAUCGAUAUUGAUGCCUUUUUUUCACAGCAUAUGCUGGCUCAUGCCAAUUGGAAUGCAAUUCUUGAAAAGCCUUUACAGUUGCAAAUAUU
rnacentral:lncRNA from 1 species